CUUCAGCCAUCAUUUUCCGUGCCCAAAUUUGAUCGUCCAUCUUAUUUAAAAUUUUUCUAAAAAAAUUAAAAACAUAAGUCAGGCAUAAAAUAUUAUUCAUAUUUUAUCAUCUAAUAACUAUAAAAAUGUUAAUCAUAAAAAAAUUUUAAAUAAGACAUACGAUAGAAGUUGACACUUAUGGUUGUAAUUAAA
rfam:Oryza meridionalis cultivar OR44 (W2112) chromosome 5, whole genome shotgun sequence.